rnacentral:tRNA from 1 species
GGGGGUACAGCUCAACUGAUAAGAGUGUUUGCCUCACAUGCACAAGGUCCUGGGUUCAAUCCCCAGCACCAUCA